rnacentral:rRNA from 1 species
UACGUAGGGUGCAAGCGUUGUCCGGAAUUAUUGGGCGUAAAGAGCUCGUAGGCGGUUUGUCGCGUCGAAUGUGAAAACCCGGGGCUCAACCCCGGGCCUGCAUUCGAUACGGGCAGACUAGAGUUCGGUAGGGGAGUCUGGAAUUCCUGGUGUAGCGGUGAAAUGCGCAGAUAUCAGGAGGAACACCGGUGGCGAAGGCGGGACUCUGGCCGAUACUGACGCUGAGGAGCGAAAGCGUGGGGAGCAAACAGG